rnacentral:rRNA from 1 species
CCUACGGGAGGCUACAGUCGAGAAUUAUUCACAAUGGGGGAAACCCUGAUGGUGCGACGCCGCGUGGGGGAAUGAAGGUCUUCGGAUUGUAAACCCCUGUCAUGUGGGAGCAAAUUAAAAAGAUAGUACCACAAGAGGAAGAGACGGCUAACUCUGUGCCAGCAGCCGCGGUAAUACAGAGGUCUCAAGCGUUGUUCGGAAUCACUGGGCGUAAGGCGUGCGUAGGCUGUUUCGUAAGUCGUGUGUGAAAGGCGCGGGCUCAACCCGCGGACGGCACAUGAUACUGCGAGACUAGAGUAAUGGAGGGGGAACCGGAAUUCUCGGUGUAGCAGUGAAAUGCGUAGAUAUCGAGAGGAACACUCGUGGCGAAGGCGGGUUCCUGGACAUUAACUGACGCUGAGGCACGAAGGCCAGGGGAGCGAAAGGGAUUAGAUACCCCGGUAGUC